CCUACGGGGGGCUGCAGUGGGGAAUAUUGGACAAUGGGGGGAACCCUGAUCCAGCCAUGCCGCGUGUGUGAAGAAGGCCCUCGGGUUGUAAAGCACUUUCAGUGAGGAAGAACGCCUGGUGGUUAAUACCCAUCAGGAAAGACAUCACUCACAGAAGAAGCACCGGCUAACUCCGUGCCAGCAGCCGCGGUAAUACGGAGGGUGCGAGCGUUAAUCGGAAUUACUGGGCGUAAAGCGCGCGUAGGUGGCUUGAUAAGCCGGUUGUGAAAGCCCCGGGCUCAACCUGGGAACGGCAUCCGGAACUGUCAAGCUAGAGUGCAGGAGAGGAAGGUAGAAUUCCCGGUGUAGCGGUGAAAUGCGUAGAGAUCGGGAGGAAUACCAGUGGCGAAGGCGGCCUUCUGGACUGACACUGACACUGAGGUGCGAAAGCGUGGGUAGCGAACAGGAUUAGAUACCCGUGUAGUC
rnacentral:rRNA from 1 species